UACAGAGUGCUGAGCGUUAGGCGGAAGUCACUGGGCUUAAAGGCGUGUGUAGGCCGGUAUUGGCUAAAGUACCUUGUGAAAUCCCGAACGGCUUAACCGUAGGAACUGCUUGGUAUACUAGGGCUGAUCUUGAGCCACUUAGGGGCAACCGGAACAACGGUGGAGCGGAUGAAAUGCGUAGAUAAUCGUUGGAACGCCAAUGGUGAAACGGUUGCUGGGAGUGA
rnacentral:rRNA from 1 species